UGCAUUUUCUCUCCAAGCUUGUCACCUUCCUCCCUUCCUCUUGUGAGCCAAAGUGAUCACCUUUUUGUUCAAGUUUAUUCAUCUAAUCACCAUAACUUGGUGUGAGCAACUUUGUGAGGGUGAGAGUCAACCCAUUUCGGAGUUAUGGUCUCUAUUUAGUGGUGGUUUAGGGGUUGGGUUCUUGAGUUUCAUGGAGGGAGCCAUUGUCAUGGCAUUUGGAGCUUCAAGAAGCUACCUUUGAAGAGAAAAGACCUUGCUUGAUAGCCAUUUUCGUGGACCUUUGAAGUCAGAACCUUGGGGCUGGUUUGAGAGCUCCAAGAGCACUUGUGGUUCUAUUUUGAGCCUUUGGGAUUGUAAUUGUGCUGUUUGUGAACCUUGGGCUGUUGUGGACUCUUGACUUGGGAUUGAUUGCUUAAGAGAUUCAGGUACCUCGGAAGUUGAUACCUUUAGGGCAUGAGGCCGGAGUUGAGUUGAGUGGAUAUGUAUGCUGUUGAGCUGAUAUGUUAGAGAUUUCCAUGCCUUAUUUCAGUAUAUUGUUAUUUGAGUUGAGACUUUGUUGGGCUUUGUUGCCUUAUUUGGUGAGCAUGAGGGUUGUCCAUGCCACAUUGACAUCAAUAUGUUUGAUUUAAUUUGAGUUGUACUCAUGUAUCAGGAUAUGGUCCGGUCUAUGUGUUGUAGUUUCGUGACUUGAUACUAUUUAUAUUAUGAGGUUA